GUGGGGAAUAUUGGACAAUGGGCGAAAGCCUGAUCCAGCCAUGCCGCGUGUGUGAAGAAGGUCUUCGGAUUGUAAAGCACUUUAAGUUGGGAGGAAGGGCAGUAAGUUAAUACCUUGCUGUUUUGACGUUACCGACAGAAUAAGCACCGACUAACUUCGUGCCAGCAGCCGCGGUAAUACGAAGGGUGCAAGCGUUAAUCGGAAUUACUGGGCGUAAAGCGCGCGUAGGUGGUUUUGUAAGUUGGAGGUGAAAUCCCCGGGCUCAACCUGGGAACUGCCUCCAAAACUGCAUGACUAGAGUACGGUAGAGGGUAGUGGAAUUUCCUGUGUAGCGGUGAAAUGCGUAGAUAUAGGAAGGAACACCAGUGGCGAAGGCGACUACCUGGACUGAUACUGACACUGAGGUGCGAAAGCGUGGGGAGCAAACAGGAUUAGAAACCCUUGUAGUCC
rnacentral:rRNA from 1 species